rnacentral:misc_RNA from 1 species
ACUAAAUAACUGGUUCUACUUCUCAUAUAACUUCAAAACAUCAGGCACAUUGUAAAUGACAACCCAAAUAAGUCAUUUAUUCUGAAGGUAAAACUAGUCCCUCAAACCAACUUUUUUAAAAAAAAAAAUUAAGACCCAUAAAUAUUUUUUGCAUAGCUCUCAUAAUUUGAAACGACGGAAGCACAUAACAAAACUUAAUGUUAAACUUGUUUUACAGGUAACUCAUGCAUGCCUAGCAACCUUCCAGUAAGAGGUUUAAUAAGUCUGCAAUGACCUGGCACAUAGCCAGAACACCUAUGAAGUCCUAACCAUUUGAACCACCCAAUUCUUCAGCAAGUACAUACCAAAAGGCAACAGAACAGAAUCCCAUACAGGAGGCCAUAUUUGGGAGAAAUUGGCUUUCAAUCAACAGAAUUCCAUCAGUUUACAAUAGCACACUUUCUCUAAUGCCUCCACCUCAGGAAUGAAUUUAUGGCCCGAUGCAAAACAUUUUUGCCCAAAAUAAGGUUCACCACAAACAGUAUUUAACAUUUUGGCAUAGAGGGAGUUGCAAAGAAGGAUGAGAAAUCUACAGCUACAAUAACAUUCUAUAUUGACUACAUAUCCAAGUCAAACAAAAUGCAAAUGGAUACUACUUGCGUUAUCAUUAAACGAACAUCUGGGAAUUACCAUUACAAAACAAGGAAAAAAUAUUGCAUAAAUAUGGACACUAAUUACCUAUUACAAGGAUUAGGCUAUUAGAUUUCAAUUGAAAGUCUACUGUAGGUGAUACCAUUCCUAAUGAUCGCUAGUCAAAAUUCAAUUGUUAGUCAACUUCUUGAUAGAAAGAUCUUGAUAACUAAAGCAACAAACAAAAAAGAAAACAAAUUCUGAUGAAUGAUAUUAGAAAGAUGCAAAUUCCUGUAUCAUAACAAUUUCUAACAUUACAAAACUAUAGCAUCAAUUCCUUGCUAUCCAUUGAAUUCUCUUGUAAUUUCUUACUACUACUAACUCAAUUCUUUUAUCAAGAAAUUCAAAAACAGGAAUCAGCAAAGUUAGGAGAUCUCAAAGACGUUCACACACACAGCAAUUAUGUUUGUAAAUCCUAUUAAAGAAAAGCAGGAAUCUUUUCCAAGAAGAAGAAAAGAUAAAGUACCGCUACAAGCCCCCUCUUGGGCUAUCAUCAUCAGAAAGCAGGUUCACAUACGAUGACGUUUCCAUAUCAUCCGCCACAAGAUCAUCCGUGCUCCUCAGCAACGCGUGUAAAAACACCAAAACCACACCGAUUCCAACCGCAACCACUACAUUAAGCCAAACGCCACUCCAAACCAACACCAAAAGCGUAACCGCAAAAAGCGCAACUAGAACCAGCAAAUCAUUCACCUGGUAACCGAAAACGCUGAGCGGCUCCUCGCGAGAGAAGUAGAGAAAGACCCAAGCGACGAGCGUGAUAAAGAAGGAGAUUAGGGAGAGAGGAUGAUAGAGGAGACCGAAGAAGAGGACGAGCAAGACAAUUAUCGAGUAAUUAGUGCGAAAAUGAGUGAAGUUCUGAGUUAUGCGAGUAGUGGAGUCGGGAAUGGAGGAUGGGAGGUUGAGAGAGGUGAGGUCUAGGAAAAGGGACCACGGAUGAAGGCUAGCUUUUAGGGAUUGGGAGGUUUUGUUGAAGCGAGAGAAGAAUUGAGGAGAAUUUGACAUUGUUGUCAUUACCGUUGGUGAAUGAAGAUCGUAGCUUUCUGAUUCAAAGGCUUUUCAUGUCGUUUGAAACAGUAAGUUUUUGGAGAACGUUAGAAACCAUCUGAGUUGACUUGAGCGAUUUCCACCGUCCUUCUUUACUUUACUCUUGACAGGUGAUUUUGGACAUGGCUGUGGCUGGUGAGUAAUGUUGAUAUUUGCCCACUCCAGUUCAUAAACCCAAUCAGUUCAGGAGUCACAGGCCGAAACUCAAC